UACGUAGGGGGCAAGCGUUGUCCGGAUUUAUUGGGCGUAAAGAGCUCGUAGGCGGUUUGGUAAGUCUGGUGUGAAAUCUCCACGCUCAACGUGGAGGGGCCACCCGAUACUGCCAUGACUGGAGUCCGGUAGAGGAGUGUGGAAUUCCCGGUGUAGUGGUGAAAUGCGUAGAGAUCGGGAGGAACACCAGUGGCGAAGGCGGCCGGCUGGGGGUGACCUGACGCUGAGGCGCGAAAGCGUGGGGAGCGAACCGG
rnacentral:rRNA from 1 species